GUUUUCUUCUCAGGGCCUCUGCAAAGUAAAGCCCUGGUAAAUCUCAGCAGACUGCUGCCCUCUUCCUGUUCCCCAGUUGAUUAGGCUGGCCAGUUCUGCAGCUGCAUACUACUUCAGGGCACAGUCAGCAUGAAAAGUUGGAAGAAGAUCCAGUCACAGGAAAAGAGAAAUGGGAUAGACAACAAUAGAUCUGCAACAUUACCAGCGCCACUUUAGACAAGCCCAAGUACAAAAUGGUGCUGCCCACCUCCUCCUCUCCCCCUCCCCCUCCCCCUCCCACCUCCCCCCUCCCCCCUCCCCUCCCUCAUCCCCCCCCCCUUUAUGAGAAGCCUCCUGACUUGGAAACAACUUUCUGGCUUCUGCAUAGGUGCAGUUCUUCACCCAGUUACAUCAACUUAAUGGUCCCUCCCCCCAUACAUUUUGCGCCCGAAAGCUAAUAUAAACUCCCGCAAACCCAUUGUUGGGGCCGUCCACCAUUUUCAGGGCAGACAUGGGCCCUGUGCCACUCUGAGCACAGCCAAGCAGAUUUCUUUCUUUAAUAAAGCUUGAACGGUAC